rnacentral:rRNA from 1 species
GACGUAGGUGGCGAACGUUAUCCGGAAUUAUUGGGCGUAAAGGGUGCGUAGAUGGCCGUGACAAGUUAACAGUGGUAAAUCGAGGCUCAACCUCGUGGAAACUGAUAAUACUGUCUGGCUCGAGUACAGAAGAGGUUAACGGAAUCCAUGUGGAGCGGUAAAAUGCAUAGAUAUAUGGAAGAACACCAAUAACGGCGAAGGCAGUUAACUAUUCUGUUAACUGACAUUGAGGCACGGAAAGCGUGGGGAGCAAACAGG